GUCUUCUGUAGCUCAGUUGGUUAGAGCCCUGCACCAGAAUCGCAGAGCCACAGGUUCGAUUCCUGCCAGGGACC